ensembl:miRNA
CUGAGGCCCGAUUCAAGGCCCAUUGAAGUUAAUGACAGUCUUUCAAUUGACUUCAGUGAGCUUUGGAUCAGGCUCAGAA